rfam:Otolemur garnettii contig196098, whole genome shotgun sequence.
GCCGGGCGUUGUGGCGGGCGCCUGUAGUCCCAGCUACUUGGGAGGCUGAGGUAGAAGAAUCGCCUAAGCCCAGGAGUUGGAGGUUGCUGUGAGCUGUGAUGCCACAGCACCCUACCCAGGGCAAUAAAGUGAGACUCUGUCUUUA